UGGGGAAUAUUGGUCAAUGGGCGCAAGCCUGAACCAGCCAUGCCGCGUGCAGGAAGACGGCCCUAUGGGUUGUAAACUGCUUUUGUCAGGGAAUAAACCCCCGCUCGUGAGCGGGGCUGAAGGUACCUGAAGAAUAAGCAUCGGCUAACUCCGUGCCAGCAGCCGCGGUAAUACGGAGGAUGCAAGCGUUAUCCGGAUUUAUUGGGUUUAAAGGGUGCGUAGGCGGAUUUGUAAGUCAGUGGUGAAAGUUUCCGGCUUAACCGGGAGAAUGCCGUUGAGACUGCAGGUCUUGAGUGCAAGCGAGGUAAGUGGAAUGUGUUGUGUAGCGGUGAAAUGCAUAGAUAUAACACAGAACACCGAUUGCGAAGGCAGCUUACUAGUAUGUAACUGACGCUGAGGCACGAAAGCGUGGGGAGCAAACA
rnacentral:rRNA from 1 species